AUGGCCCUGAGCUUUCAGCGACUCGACGCAGUCGUUGAACAUCUCUUGCACUCCUUUGAACUUGAGACCCAGCCCCUGGAGCUUGGAUGUGUUCAGCUGAUACGCCUGCUUUCCAUAGGGGUUACUGAGCCUGCAGAGAGAUUUCAAGGUACGCAUUUCAGUCAAAACUCGGGAAAGAGACGACUCGAAGAAAAAUAUGUAUGUUUGCAGCAAGAGCAGAUAUUAAGGCCCUGUUCGGAGGACCUCCGCUCCCCGACUCCACUCCCGGAGCGGGGGGAGUUACUGUUGAAAAUCAUGGAGCUGCGGUUUCCUGGCUCUGCAACUCCGGAGAUUUUGCGGAGCUAG
rnacentral:rRNA from 1 species